rnacentral:snRNA from 1 species
GUGGUCACUUCAGCAGCACAUAUAUUAAAAUUGGAACAAUACAGAUUAGCAUGGCUCCUGUGCAAGGGUGACACUCAAUUUGUGGAAUGUUCCAUAUACGU